CAUUACUGUGUAGCAGCAAGUAAUUCGUACAUAGAAGAAGUGUUCCACGGGUAUGUAGACAGAGUUGCGGCUACUCAGAGGAUGCGAGAUAUAACUUUAUCAAACUCAUCUCUCAUGGAGGAAGGGGGAUAAAAAAUUGUCAGGGGACCCUGUUGCAUAAUGUUUAAUGUGCCUUCCACACCUGCUGUACCACCGCUUCCGUGGGACUCCAUUACUCUCCCUCACUCUUUGAUUUUGGGGGUCCUCUGAGACGCAAAGUGCUGUGUUGCCUGCUGCACAUUACCACACCUCCACAAGCUGCAUGAACUUUGAAAUAAUUGAGCAUGGUACCUAAGAUGGAUGAUGGUGAGAUAAAGAUGGAGCCACUGGCGCCAAGUAAUGCAAAGUACCCUGUAAUGCAAAUUCCCCCUGCUUAGCUAAUUUACAUAUAUGUAAAUUGGAAAAAAUAAAACUAAUCAGAAAAUUAUAGAUUUAAAUAAUAAAUACACCUCAACAAUGCUGUUGCAUGUAAUACAUCUGUGGCCACAGUAGCAGAUGCGCGGG